AAGGAGGGCUCUCCUCCGGCGGGGAGGCAUCAUGGCCGCUAAGUCAGACGGGAGGCUGAAAAUGAAGAAGAGCAGCGACGUGGCGUUCACCCCGCUGCAGAACUCGGACCACUCGGGCUCGGUGCAGGGAUUGGCCCCGGGCUUGCCGUCUGGGUCGGGAGCCGAGGACGAGGAGGCGGCCGGCAGCGGCUGCUGCCCGGACGGCGGCGGCUGCUCACGCUGCUGCUGCUGCUGCUCCGGGAGCGGCGGCUCGGGGGGCUCUGGCGGCGGCGCUGGCGGCCCGGGCGGCGGCGGCGGGGCGGGCUCAGCGGCGCUGUGCCUGCGCCUGGGCAGGGAGCAGCGGCGCUACUCGCUGUGGGACUGCCUCUGGAUCCUGGCUGCCGUGGCCGUGUACUUCGCGGACGUGGGCACGGACAUCUGGCUCGCCGUGGACUACUACCUGCGCGGCCAGCGCUGGUGGUUCGGGCUCACGCUCUUCUUCGUGGUGCUGGGCUCCCUGUCGGUGCAAGUGUUCAGCUUCCGUUGGUUUGUGCACGAUUUCAGCACUGAGGACAGCGCCACGGCCGCAGCAGCCUCCAGCUGCCAGCAGCCCGGAGCCGAAUGCAAGACGGUGGUCAGCGGUGGGUCUGCAGCCGGUGAAGGCGAAGCUCGUCCUUCCACGCCGCAAAGGCAAGCCUCCAACGCCAGCAAGAGCAACAUCACCGCCGCCAACAGCGGCAGCAACAGCAGCGGGGCCACUCGGGCCAGCGGCAAACACAGGUCUGCGUCCUGCUCCUUCUGCAUCUGGCUCCUGCAGUCACUCAUCCACAUCUUGCAGCUCGGGCAGAUCUGGAGAUAUUUCCACACAAUAUACUUAGGUAUUCGAAGCCGACAGAGUGGGGAGAAUGACAGAUGGAGGUUUUACUGGAAAAUGGUGUAUGAGUAUGCUGAUGUGAGUAUGCUGCAUUUGCUAGCCACCUUUCUGGAAAGUGCUCCACAGCUGGUCCUGCAGCUCUGCAUUAUCGUACAGACUCAUAGCUUACAGGCCCUCCAAGGUUUCACAGCUGCAGCCUCCCUCGUGUCCCUGGCUUGGGCCCUUGCCUCCUACCAGAAGGCCCUCCGGGACUCUCGGGAUGACAAGAAACCCAUCAGCUAUAUGGCCGUCAUCAUCCAGUUCUGCUGGCACUUCUUCACCAUCGCCGCCAGGGUCAUCACCUUUGCCCUCUUUGCCUCCGUGUUCCAGCUCUACUUUGGGAUCUUCAUCGUCCUUCACUGGUGCAUCAUGACCUUCUGGAUCGUCCACUGUGAGACGGAAUUCUGUAUCACCAAAUGGGAGGAGAUCGUGUUCGACAUGGUGGUGGGGAUCAUCUACAUCUUCAGCUGGUUCAACGUCAAGGAAGGCAGGACACGCUGUCGGCUGUUCAUUUACUAUUUUGUGAUCCUUUUGGAAAACACAGCCUUGAGCGCCCUCUGGUACCUCUACAAGGCGCCUCAGAUUGCAGAUGCGUUUGCCAUUCCGGCGCUCUGCGUGGUGUUCAGCAGCUUUUUAACUGGCGUGGUUUUUAUGCUGAUGUAUUAUGCCUUCUUUCACCCCAAUGGACCCAGAUUCGGGCAGUCACCAAGUUGUGCUUGUGAGGACCCCGUCGCUGCCUUCACUCUGCCACCGGAAGUGGCCACGAGCACCCUACGCUCCAUCUCCAACAACCGCAGCAUGGUCAGCGACCGCGACCAGAAAUUUGCAGAGCGGGACGGGUGUGUCCCUGUCUUUCAGGUGCGCCCCACUGCCCCGUCCACCCCAUCAUCUCGUCCACCACGGAUUGAAGAAUCAGUCAUUAAAAUUGACCUGUUCAGGAACAGGUACCCAGCGUGGGAGAGACACGUUUUGGACCGAAGCCUCCGCAAGGCCAUUUUAGCCUUUGACUGUUCCCCGUCUCCUCCAAGGCUGCAGUACAAAGAUGAUGCCCUUAUCCAGGAGCGGUUGGAAUACGAAACCACUUUAUAGAACAAAUGGACCUACAGGAGCCACAAGGUCCAGUUGAAGGGUGACAGCAGGGCUGUGGCAAUAAGGACAGUUAUCCUAGAGUAGGGCAGUGAGCUGUGAUGUUCUUAGUCUGACCAUCAUUAUGAUCAUCGUUUGAUUCCCCAUCAGCUGACUGUUUGCUGCUGGUCCCCUUUCAAACCAGCAGCACGGAGUCUCUUAUUCCACCCAAAGGAUGAGGCCAGCUGGGUGCGACUGUGGCUACCACACCCCUCCUGCACACAGUCUUGGAGCAUAUCUGCCAGAGGGCACCAUUAACAUGGAAAAUUCUGCCUCUGAUCAAUAGGGUGUUUUGAUGGAGUUAACUGAUCUUUGCAUAAAAAUAUGUUGAGUCAUACACACACAUCUACACACUGACACGCACACAACACCAGUUCUCUGUCAAAAUAGGUUAGGUGAUCUUUCUUGAGGCAAAGUUCAGAUUCCCGUGGGAAUAUAAACACCAAGAGGAAGGGAGAAUACAUCCCUCAAGACUCCAGAAAAAAAAAAAAAGUAAUAGCACUUAGAAAAGAAUUCAUAAACCAUUUUCUCAUUUGGAAACAAAUACCGUGCGUGAGAUGCCUAUCCAAUGGACAACCCACUCAAGUGUGUUUACACGUGUACUGCCAUAGACAAAAUGGUUCAUGUCCUACACAUUUCAGGAUUUGUUGUUCUUUUUUUAACUUUCAGUUGAGAACGUUCUUUACGACAGAAAUCCUAUGCAGCACAUGUAUGGCUUUUGAUGCGAGCUUGAUGACUUCGUGAUGUAACUUAAAUGAUUAUCGUGAUUCAGUAUUCAAUUGCAAAAAUUCAAUAACUAUACAAAGAGGAAGUGGAGGGGGGAGGCAAAAUGAGAAUCUGGUUCCCAGGCCUGUGCAGCUCACACUGAAAUGUUGCUGGGCCCAAAUGCAGAACAAGUGGCUCUGUGGGCAAAUAAAAUUGUACAAAAAAAUUUGUACAAUACAAAUGACUCCAUGCCACACCUUUCUAGUGCCAAACACCGUAACCACAGGACUGACAGGCAAUCCCCUAGCAACUGAGAAUGAGUGGCUUGAGCCCCCUAAAAGUGGACAAGAGAAUGAACAAUCAAGUUCUCCACUGUGUAUAGACUGCCCCCGUCCCAUCUGAGGUCAAAGUGAUGCAUCUUUUAGAGGCUUUGGUACACUUUUUAGUAAGUAUAAGCAAACAAAAGCAGUGAAUACGCUAUGAGAAAACCCUUCCAAACUGAUUGAGGGCUUAUCACUAUAUCCAGCUAAUAUUUGUAUUUGAAUCAUCUGCAAAGUCGCACUCUUGCAACAAGCUUCUGGGUUUUAAAUACCUCCGCACAGCAAGUAACUGUUCCGCUUUCUGUUCUCAGUGUCCUCGGUCAUGGUGCUUUUUGUUGCAUUAAAAGUGCCAGUCAAACUUUGAUAGUAUUUUUUUAUAGUUGGUGCAGAGUGGAAUAACUCAUGGAUUAUUUCAAUAUUUUUGUAAUAAAAAUAUAGGGUAUACACAUAGACAUCAUCACUUUUUUUAUAGACCUGGAAUUGUUUAAAAUACAUUCAGCAUCAUAGUCACUUGGGAUGUCAGAAAUUGGUCCACAAAUUCCAUCAGCCUGCCUUGGCAGAUUGAAAACACCUGUCUCUUGCAAGAUCACCCUAUUUUUGCAAGUCAGUGCCCCUAGGAACCUGGCCAGGGGUGCUAUCAGUGCUUCAGGCGAAGAGAGAAUCAGCUUAACUAGAAAGGGCUUGUCAUGACUGGCCAAUGUUUCCCAGGAGGUCAAAGAUGUAAAUGGUUAUUUUCAUCCAUCCAUUAUAACACACCUGGCCACAGUGGAAGAUGUCUUAAACUUCCUUCCCUGGUUUUAUAAAAACCCAAGUGAUAUAUUAAAUACCAAUCAAGAUACUAAACAGAAAGGAAAAUGUUUAACUUAGUUAUUGGGACUGCCGAAUUCACUUAAAAUAGUCAUGUUCCAUAGCCACCACCUCUAUCGGGUGUGUCAUUCAGAACCGCUGUCCUCAUGAUGACAUCCACAGCAAGUUACAGAGGUUCAACCUAGGACUUUUUUUGGUGCAAAACCCCAAAGUGAUUUUUUUAAAAAUAGACAAUUUUUAUCAGUAGACAUUCUUCAUACUACUCCAUGAUUUGAUCCUCCAAGCAAGAUUUCCACUAAAAAUUAACUUAUCCUUUGUUGGGAAGUGGAAGGAUUUCCUAGUCACCAGUAGAGGCCCUGGAGGACGCUCUUCUUAUCAGCGGUUGGUGAGAACUUUGCACCCCCACUGUAGAAGGACAAAAAAAAAAAGAGAGAGAGAGAGAUUACUUUGGCAAUUCUUCACUUUUGAGCAGAACCAUGAGUUAUUAGCCUUGUUAGUUCCAAGACAACUUUUAACUGAUGAUCUAUGGAAAUUGAAUCUCUCAGUUGGACUAUACCUUUGAUCCCAUGAGUAAAUAUCAGUAUAAUAGUGUCAAUGAACACAAAUCCAACAGGCCCCAUCAUUCUUCAAUCACAAGCAUCUUGGAACUUGUCAAGUUUAACUGGAAAUGAUUCGCAGUUCAUUAAUUCAACUGACACUUUAUUCCUGCAAAUUCUUGACUUGUAAUAUUAUAAUCAAGCUACUACAAGGGAACAUUAAUCAGUUUGUGGAAAGGGAGCACUUCCUUCGAGGGUGAGCCAUGAAGUACCCAGGCCUGAAGAUAAAGACCUCUGUGAAGCAGAGCUAAUGAAUUCGUACAACCUGGUUCCUCUUCAUCGAUGCUAGGAACAUACAGAUGCUUCAUUUUUUAUGCCACUAAGUGUUGCUUUGGGAAAGAAAGAGAGAGAGAAAUUUAUCAAUGAAUUCUUGGGGGCUUGUGCAGCUCAGAGAAUGGGUAUGAGUCAUGGAGAAUUCCUUUAAGUGGAUUCAAAUCCACUUGUUUGGAAAUGAAAAAAAGUCACUGUCACCUGUUUAGUCAUUGACCUUUGUCUGCAUACAGUUGCUGCUUUUACUGCAUUUCUUGAGACUACCAUUAUUAGCUUUGUAAUAAGCAAUUUGUAAAAAUUGAGUUUAUAAUUCAAUUUCAGAGGUAAAAUCUGUGUGGAUAUAGCUAUUGAAUGAUUUGAUUCUCUGACUUGUUAGAUGAUGACAUUAUCACUUCCAAACUGAGAUCCAUUUCUAUGUGGAAUUAGCCACCCUAUGGCUUCUCAGAUCACACAGAACCUUGGUUACACGCUCCAAGAUCUCCACUAUGAUAUUCUUAAUGCCUCUGUGUUCACUUAGAAGUAAACAAGUGAUCUCAUAGUUUUAAAUUAUAGUUCUCUCCCACUUGCUUCUCUUUUUUUCAAAGAUUUGAGUUAUAAGGUAAGAAUGAGGUCAUCAGACAUUUUCAAUUUGAUCAUAGUUUCAGAGUAUUCAAGAGAGUCACGUAUCCAUAUGUUCUUAUGAAGUCUUCUGUCUAAUCUUUUGUUGUCACAGUUUUAGGAAUUAGCCCUAAAUGAAUGAGUGGAAGUAAUUAGAUCAAACCAAUGGUAGUCUAGAAGAAAAGUGAGACGAGAAAGAAGCAGGGAUCGUUUUUCUUGUGCUUCAAAGAUGUUUCUCUUCCUACAUGAUCAUCUUGGUGGUUGUCUCCAAGAUGCACCAAGAGCUACUAAAUAAUAAUCCAAGUUCUCAACUCUAGGAUCACAGCCAGUCCUUUAUGAGAACUAGCUCUUGGCAUAAGCACUGAAAUUGAAUAAUAGAAAAGUGGCCUACCACCAUGUGACUUACUCUCAAUUGCAAGGCAAUGAAAACGUGCAACUUGAAGAAAAGUUCAUUUUUGAAGUCUAAAGAGAACUUAAGCACAAAGACACUCUGUAACAUACAGUGAGGUGGUUGACUGUGGGGACAAAGGAGCAAUAAACAGUCCUCUUGGACAAGGCUUAUGGGAAAGAGUGACCAUAGCAGUGCUGGGUGUUGGGAUAAAGGGUUUCUUUCCAUUAGAAAGGUCUAGGUAUGGUGACUGAAGAGAAAAUCUCUCAGUGGCUCACCAGGAAUAUUUGCUUUUUUACAGAAACAAGUUUAAGGUAGUCACUGACGUUCCAUAACCAGGACAACAGGCUUGAGAAAGGCCAAGGCCUGACUAGCAUAGGAACAGGGAGCAGAAAUUCGCGGUUUCAUGUCUGAGACUGGCUGUCUCCUUAAGAGAACUCCCACUUUCUGACCAUUCUUGAUCACUGGCUCCAUACACUGCUCUGUACACCGAGAGCUUCUGAUGGAUUAUAAGAUAGGAUAUUUGAAGGCAUUGUGAGUCAAUCUUGCUUGUAGAGCAUGAAAUAUUUAAUUGUCCAUCCUUCUAACAACAAUGGUAUUCAGGGUUACCAUGGCCUUAUUCAUCCUCCCAUUGUAAAUAGAUCAUGGCAUCAGGAGUCUCUGUGUUCACACUCAGUAAGCCAGGUUUACAGGUACUAGAAUCUUUUAAACAUACUUUGGAUCUUGAUUCUGCCAAUCACUUAGUCUGUGUAUCUAUUUCCAAACUGGAAUCUAAUUCUUGUGACAAUGAUUUUCAGAAUAAUGGAAACAAACCAACAAAAAAAGAACAGUUAAGCAUUUUUCCAACAUAGACAAACCCAUUGGACCAUUGAUAGCCCUAAAGCUCUGAUUUUUCCUCAUGACCAAAUUUCUUUCCAUUUGAGGUAUUUCAGCAUCUGAAUUUUUCGGACGAUUGCUGAACCAUCUUCACUAAACCAAAGUAGACAGUACGGCAUUAUUAAAAAUAAAGACUGUCCAUGCUAAUGCAAACAUCCCAACGAAAAGUGAAGAAGCUCAUUCAAGUGGUAAAUUUGGUCUUCUUGAUAGUAAGCAUCUGGUUACUAUUAAGAAAAGUGCAGAUACUGGAAGUGUAUAGUUUUCUGUUUGGUUGUCUGGUAUUGUAUGAACAGACAAACUGCUCAGGUGAUGUAGGUAAUGGAAUUCAACUUUCUGGUGUCAUAAUCAGUUGCUGGUGGUAUUCUGUUGCUAGCAGUCUCUUUGUUGUGCAAAGAGAAAUAAAUGAUGUAGAGCAAAUGUUAUUUGAUUUUUAUUUACUGUGGGAAAACACGUGGAUGGAAGAAGUUCAGGAGGCUGCCCUGGGUAUCAUAGGUUUGACUGCAGCAUUGCCCUUCUUCAAAGGGGUAGUUCCAGCAAUCUUCCACUUGGCCCCUUUCAGGGAGUGAAACUUUUCCUUUGGAUUUUGUUACAUUUAGAGUUUUUAUUGUCACUCUUCCACUGUUCAUAUAAUCUUAAUCACUCACAAAGUCUACUUUAUGCAAUGUGAAGGGUAAUACAAAUUCAUUAACUUUUUAUUUCUCAGAUAGAAGUUUUCAUGUCAAGCAUUCCUUGCUAUACCUUUUCACCAUAGAAAUUGUUUAAACUGCUUGAUUUCACAGUGUCAACAGAAGCAAGAACUAUUUUUCCAAAUCAAUAGUAAUCUAUAAUUUUUUGUUUCAUUGUUGAUAUUGUUCCUAUUGCCAAGUGUUAACUGGUCUUUGUGAAAACUGGAAUAUUAGUGUUUUUACUUAUAGUCACUGUUAAAAUUCCCCAAAAAAAAAAGAGAAAAAAUGGCAUCAAAGGGUAAUACUCUUUUCAGAAGGAACAUGUGUGGUGUUCAUAUCAACUCGUGUAUUUGUGAUUAUUUGUAGAUGUUUCUUAUAAGGUUAGGAAGAUAAUCUUGUUUAUUUAGUGUUGGCUCUGGGUUGCUGAGCAUGUGAAUUUCUUCAAAUUGUGUGCUUAGCUCAUUUACCAUUCAGAAGCUCUGCAGAAAAGCAAAGAAAUUUAGACCAAAUUUCUCUUAAGAGCUCUUAUAUUGCAGAACUUACUAGAAGGCACUGACUCUGAGCAGGCACACAGAGCACUGAAAGGUAUUGAGCUAUGCAAAAUCUUGAGGGGAUUUCCAGGGAAAAUCUAAAUAUUUUGAAGGUUGGGGUUAGGUAAAAUUUUCAUGUGUCAAGUUCAAUACUCAGUGCCAAGUUAGAACAACUUCCUGGGCUAAGCCAUGAAGUUCUCUUUUGAGUUCCCCCUUCCCUCAAAUGCAGAAGUUCCCUUACCUCAAAUGGAUACUCCACUUUGUAUAGCAAGGACCUCCAGCCACUGUGGCACCACUGCCCGGUGCUAAUUGUGUCUUUGGAAGGCGGGUCAUGGCUACUGUGUAAAACUUUCAAAACCAGAAGACUCUCCAACAUCAAUGUGUGUAGCAACCCAAAUUGGUUUUGCUUUUCUUUUCCCUAAGAUUUUUACUUCCCUAAAUCCUUUUCCAAAAUUUUUUACCAACAUGUUAUUGACAAGAUGUUUAGUUGAAUUAGAAACAAAGAGAUAAAAAUCAAUUGGCAAGAAUAAAAAAUUUGUUAUUUUUUUCGGUUAUUUUUGAAUAUGUAAUCUUUGAAUGGAAGUUAUGGUUUAGCUGUAAACCCAAAAUCCCAGUGUUGAACAUAAUGACUGUCUUCAGUAGGCUUAAAUAUAUCCUAUGAAGCAGUAUGCUUUUACACUCCAUUCCUGGACACAGGAAUGUGAGGGGGCUAUGGUCCAGGGACUAGAAAAAAGGGACUAGAAAACUGCACACCUGAGUCCUAAUCCCUGGGCCAUCUCUUUAGCUUCAGAAACUCACCCUUGGCCUCAUUUUUCCCAUAGAUAGAAGAGAGAUAAUAUUUAUGUAUCUACCUCGUGGGAUGUUGUAAAGAUUAAUGAGUAUUGGUGAAGUACUCUGAGAUUAGAAAUACUGUCACUCCCAAUGAUUGACAUGAACCCAAGGAGAGCUAUUUGCAGCACAAGGGUGGGCUAAGGGGUGGGCCAAGUUGUCUGAGGAACUCACCAGCAAUAACUCACCAAGCAGAGAACAGUUAUUCAUCACUCAAUGUAAGUAAAACUUUCCCUUCAAAGGUUCCUGUAGAACUUUGUAAAUGAUCAGCUUUUUAAUGAGGAAAUUAAUUCCUUUCAUACAGAACAAUAAUUUUCUUCUUAGCCAAACUGAAAUUUUACUAAAUGUUUAUUAAAAAUGUAUCCAGAAAACUUGGUUCCUUCUGAUGCCUAAGGAGUUUGCAUGCCUGACCCCCAUCUACAUUUUCUGUAACCCAUAGAUGGUACCUCCAGUUUAGCACUAAUGAUUACCAAGUCGUGUUCCGAAAUCUGCAGUGUGUGUGGGGGGGAUCCUUAAGAGAUAUUAUUGAGAUUAAAUUUUGUGUUGCUUACACUGAGUUUCCUUUUUAUCCCUGAUAUUACACAUCUCUCUCAACAAAAAAAUGUAAAGGCCCAUUCCUGCUUAGAACUCCUGAGUUGGUUCAUUUUCAUAUUACAAGUACAUUUCAAAUAUUUUAGAGAAAUGUUACUCAAGAGCUUCAGUUUCUAUCAAUGUAUAUGUGAAUACUACUGAAAGAUAAAGGAGUUGGUAGGCAAACAACCUCAAGAUGUCCUCGACAACUUCCUGCAACUAUGGUGUUUUCUCUUACUUAAAUGAUCCAUCCUAAUAAGAGCUAAUGCUAAAUAACAUUAUUUGGGGUUAUAAAUAUUUACAAUUUUGAAGGUAAAGAGGUGAUAUCAUGAGGUAAAAAGACAUCCAUGAAACAACACUAACAAAGCAGAUAAUGAUUUCAUGAUGUGACUUCGGGUAGCAGAGUUGUACAUAAAUUUUAUCAUUGUGUCUUUACUUAAUGAUUAUAUUCCUUUGCAAAUCUUUUUGUGUGCUCUUAAUGGUAUGAUUUUAGAAAGUUUACCAUGGGAAGUGGGUUUAAGAUCCUGUUGUGUUUAGAGCUGAUGUAGACAUAACAUACUUAUUCAAUAUAAUCUCUUCUGGAUUCUAAAAUCUACUUGAUUGCAAUAUAUCAAACUUUAAAAUUUCCAAAUCAGUUAAACAUUUCUAGUGCAUUCUCGAACAUUCCAAAUCACCCAGGCAAUUAAAAAAAAAUCUGUGCUGCCAUUCAAAACUUAAGUAUUGCUUUGAAAUAAAAUGAGUAUAGUGAGUCAAAAAAUGAUUUUACUUUCCCUGGCUUUUUUUUUUCUAAUUCCAAGUACAGCAGAAGAUUCUUUUUGCUAUGAAAAGAAAUGUUUCUGUUUUUAUUUGGUUUUGUACAAGAAAACUGAAGUUGGUAAUAUGGAUUAGAUACAAGGGCCUGAAAUGAGCGAGGGGUGACUUUUCAGAUUGCUAGGAUGAGGGGGAGGCAUGGGGAGAUUCAACUACAGAGAUACAAAACAGAAUCCACAAGAGUUAGAGCUGGACAAUUCCUUGAAAAAGUUAUUCAUCAAACAGGUAAAAAAAAAAAAAACAGAUGGAGGUAGUGUGUUAUUUAGCUAUAAACUAGAUAUCUAGUUU